AUCGCUUGUCAGUCUUUUGGUUGAGAUCGAGGGUAGUGUCUGUUGUUAUCAGUUUAAUAUCUGACAGGUCCUCGAUGAGAGGAUGUUAUAUUAAAGGGAUUUUUGGGCUUGGGAGUUGCAUCCGGAGCUUGCUCGCUCGGCGCAUCGUCCCGGUAUUGUAGUGCCUCGGGGAACAGUGCACCCCCA